CAAAAUUGCAGGUUAUGGUAACUGUUUGUACAUGAUUGCUCCGGCUACCACCGGAUUUAACAGAACAAUGGCGGGUAAUAUCACAGGAAAUAUAACUGCCAUUGAUUCGCCCUUGGCUUCGCCUUCUUCAACGAAUGAAGCAUA